GCAAGGUGCUGCAUGGUUGUCGUCAGCUCGUGUCGUGAGAUGUUGGGUUAAGUCCCGCAACGAGCGCAACUCUUGCCUUUAGUUGCCAUCAUUCAGUUGGGCACUCUAGAGGGACUGCCGGUGUCAAACCGGAGGAAGGUGGGGAUGACGUCAAGUCCUCAUGGCCUUUAUGCCCAGGGCUACACACGUGCUACAAUGGGCGGUACAAAGAGCAGCGAGCUCGCGAGAGUAAGCAAAUCUCAAAAAGCCGUCCUCAGUUCGGAUUGGAGUCUGCAACUCGACUCCAUGAAGUUGGAAUCGCUAGUAAUCGCGGAUCAGCCAUGCCGCGGUGAAUACGUUCCCGGGCCUU
rnacentral:rRNA from 1 species